rnacentral:ncRNA from 1 species
CAGAGUAAGGACAGUGCGUUAAGUGCCGGCGGAUGGGAUGUUGCCGCCGGACGAAAAGCCUUGGGUGCUCUUGAGAGGCAUUUUAACUCUCCGAAAUGAGAAUGACAGGCUUGCGUUGCUGCUCCUGCGUCCGCUGC